rnacentral:rRNA from 1 species
AGGUGUGUAUAAAGUGGCGAACGGCUGAGUAACGCGUGGGCAACCUGCCCUCCUCUUGGGGAUAGCCUCGGGAAACCGAGGAUAAUACCCGAUACUUCAAUGUGGCCGCAUGACGACAUUGAGAAAGCUUUUGCGGAGAAGGAUGGGCCCGCGGCCUGUUAGCUUGUUGGUGGGGUAGAGGCCUACCAAGGCAAUGAUGGGUAGCUGGGUUGAGAGACCGACCAGCCAGAUUGGGACUGAGACGCGGCCCAGACUCCUACGGGAGGCAGCAGUGGGGAAUCUUGCACAAUGGGCGAAAGCCUGAUGCAGCGACGCCGCGUGCGGGACGAAGGCCUUCGGGUUGUAAACCGCUUUCAGCAGGGACGAGGCGAAAGUGACGGUACCUGCAGAAGAAGCCCCGGCUAACUACGUGCCAGCAGCCGCGGUAAUAGGUAGGGGGCAAGCGUUAUCCGGAUUCAUUGGGCGUAAAGCGCUCGUAGGCGGUCUGUUAGGUCGGGAGUUAAAUCCGGAGGCUCAACCUCCGCCCGCUCCCGAUACCGGCAGACUUGAGUUUGGUAGGGGAAGGUGGAAUUCCUAGUGUAGCGGUGGAAUGCGCAGAUAUUAGGAAGAACACCAGUGGCGAAGGCGGCCUUCUGGGCCAUGACUGGCGCUGAGGAGCGAAA